UACGUAGGGCGCAAGCGUUAUCCGGAAUUAUUGGGCGUAAAGAGCUCGUAGGCGGUUUGUCGCGUCUGCCGUGAAAGUCCGGGGCUCAACUCCGGAUCUGCGGUGGGUACGGGCAGACUAGAGUGAUGUAGGGGAGACUGGAAUUCCUGGUGUAGCGGUGAAAUGCGCAGAUAUCAGGAGGAACACCAAUGGCGAAGGCAGCACUCUGGGACGUGACUGACGCUGAGACGCGAAAGCGUGGGGAGCGAACCGG
rnacentral:rRNA from 1 species